rnacentral:rRNA from 1 species
GAUGAACGCUGGCGGCGUGCCUAAUACAUGCAAGUCGAGCGAACAGACGAGGAGCUUGCUCCUCUGACGUUAGCGGCGGACGGGUGAGUAACACGUGGAUAACCUACCUAUAAGACUGGGAUAACUUCGGGAAACCGGAGCUAAUACCGGAUAACAUGUUGAACCGCAUGGUUCAACAGUGAAAGACGGUUUUGCUGUCACUUAUAGAUGGAUCCGCGUCGCAUUAGCUAGUUGGUAAGGUAACGGCUUACCAAGGCAACGAUGCGUAGCCGACCUGAGAGGGUGAUCGGCCACACUGGAACUGAGACACGGUCCAGACUCCUACGGGAGGCAGCAGUAGGGAAUCUUCCGCAAUGGGCGAAAGCCUGACGGAGAAACGCCGCGUGAGUGAAGAAGGUCUUCGGAUCGUAAAACUCUGUUAUUAGGGAAGAACAAAUGUGUAAGUAACUAUGCACGUCUUGACGGUACCUAAUCAGAAAGCCACGGCUAACUACGUG